GACGAACGCUGGCGGCGUGCUUAACACAUGCAAGUCGAACGGAAAGGCCCUGCUUUUGUGGGGUUCUCGAGUGGCGAACGGGUGAGUAACACGUGAGUAACCUGCCCUUGACUUUGGGAUAACUUCAGGAAACUGGGGCUAAUACCGGAUAGGAGCUCCUGCUGCAUUGUGGGGGUUGGAAAGUUUCGGCGGUUGGGGAUGGACUCGCGGCUUAUCAGCUUGUUGGUGGGGUAGUGGCUUACCAAGGCUUUGACGGGUAGCCGGCCUGAGAGGGUGACCGGGCACAAUGGGACUGAGAUACGGCCCAGACUGCAACGGGAGGCAGCAGUGGGGAAUAUUGCACAAUGGGAGGAAGCCUGAUGAAGCAAAGCCGCGUGCGGGAUGACGGCCUUCGGGUUGUAAACCGCUUUCGCCUGUGACGAAGCGUGAGUGACGGUAAUGGGUAAAGAAGCACCGGCUAACUACGUG
rnacentral:rRNA from 1 species